UACGGGGGGAGCAAGCGUUGUUCGGAUUUACUGGGCGUAAAGGGCGCGUAGGCGGUCAGCACAAGUCAGUUGUGAAAUCUCCGGGCUUAACUCGGAAAGGUCAACUGAUACUGUGCGACUAGAGUGCGGAAGGGGCAACUGGAAUUCUCGGUGUAGUGGUGAAAUGCGUAGAUAUCGAGAGGAACACCUGCGGCGAAGGCGGGUUGCUGGGCCGACACUGACGCUGAUGCGCGAAAGCCAGGGGAGCGAACGGG
rnacentral:rRNA from 1 species